UAGGAACAAGCCUUUUCUCUGUGAUUGGGGU
rnacentral:piRNA from 1 species